rnacentral:rRNA from 1 species
CUAUAACGGUCCUAAGGUAGCGAAAUUCCUUGUCGGGUAAGUUCCGACCUGCACGAAUGGUGUAAUGAUCUGGACACUGUCUCAACCGUGAGCUCAGUGAAAUUGUAGUAUCGGUGAAGAUGCCGAUUACCCGCGAUGGGACGAAAAGACCCCGUGAACCUUUACUAUAGCUUUACAUUGAAUUUGGGCAGACGAUGUGUAGGAUAGGCCGGAGGCUUUGAAGGGGGUACGCCAGUAUCCUUGGAGCCGCCGUUGAAAUACGGCCCUUCGGUUGUUUGAGUUCUAACUCCUAGGCAGGAGGACACUGUAUGGUGGGUAGUUUGACUGGGGUGGUCGCCUCCAAAAGCGUAACGGAGGCUUCUAAAGGUGCCCUCAGACCGAUUGGUAACCGGUCGCAGAGUGUAAUGGCAUAAGGGCGCUUGACUGGGAGACUUACAAGUCGAUCAGGUAGGAAACUAGAGCAUAGUGAUCCGGUGGUUCCGCAUGGAAGGGCCAUCGCUCAACGGAUAAAAGCUACCCUGGGGAUAACAGGCUUAUCUCCCCCAAGAGUCCACAUCGACGGGGAGGUUUGGCACCUCGAUGUCGGCUCAUCACAUCC